GAAUAAACUUGAUGGGGAUGAAGAUGCGGUCACUGACGAAGUCAAGGUGAAAAACACGGACUGUUUUUCACCUUGACUUGUUCAGUGACCGCAUCUUCAUCCUCAUCAUGA
rnacentral:pre_miRNA from 1 species